CUGGUCUCACCUUUGAGCCUCACAUCCAGCAUGUUGCCAAAUCCUGUAGAUUCCAUCUUAAAAACAUAGCCCGCAUCCGCCCCUUUCUUGCACCAGAUACUACCAAGGAGCUUGUCCAUGCUCUAAUAAUUUCACGCAUGGAUUAUUGUAACUCUCUCCUGCUUGGUCUUCCCAAAAGCCGUACUGCACCCCUACAGUCUGUAAUGAAUGCUGCUGCUAGACUGAUUUUCCUCUCUAGUCGGUUCUCUCUCACCUCACCCCUCUGCCAGUCCUUACAUUGGCUUCCUGUGUGCUAUAGGAGUCAAUUCAAGGCACUAACUCACACCUAUAAAGCACUGAACAACUCUAGCCCCUCUUAUAUCUCCUCACUGAUCCACAGGUAUGUCCCUUCUCGGUCUCUCCGC